CGUAUUUUUAUAUUUUAAUCCAGUAAAGUGAAAAGAAAAAAGAAAGCCAUAAAUUUGAUAAAUAAAAAACAUGAGCAUUUUUUAUAUUUUUCCAUUUUAAUAUGCUAUUUCCAAUGGUUUUACGAAAUCUUAGGAAAUAAUAUUCAAGUGCAUAAAAGUUGCUAAUGAAAAUUCCAGGAGAUGAUUAGAAAAGCGUUGCAUGGAAUUAAGAUUUCAAGGAGGGGCCCAGAAAUCUCGUACCUUUUUCUUUGCAGAUGAUAGUUUGAAGAUUCGCUCUAUCUUGCAGCAGUAUGAAACAGCUUCAGGUCAGAAAGUUAAUCUAGACAAUCUGCUGUUUCUUUCAAGUCUAUUGUGGGCAGAUAGGUUCAGCAAGUGAUACAAAACAGCUUGGGAGUACAAUUGAUAGCUCGACAGGGGUUGGCAGUUAAUAUUCUCAUCUAAUUCCUUCUGUGCGAGAAUUUUAAGAGCUCGUUAUCACCUUAGACAUGAUUUAAUGUAACCUCAGAAAGGUUAUAGUCCUUCCUUUUUCUGGUCUAGUGUUCUGGAUGCUUGGUGGAUUUUGAGGAUGGGCUUAAGUGGAGGGUGGGGAGAGGCGAAGAGGUUCGCAUUUUUUAGGAUAAUUGGGUGCCUCAUUUCGUGGUGGGAAGACCACUAGUACGACCUUGUAACGAAGGAUGUCGGGAGGAGACCAUUUCAUUCGUUAUUGAUAGUGAGUUGUCACUAUGGCAGGACGAUGUACUUAAUGAGUUAUUUGCUAGGGAAGAAGCUGCUGCAAUCCUUAAUAUCCGUCUUAGUCUGAGACGAGAUAGAGGAUUUGAGGUACUGGAAAUAUACCCCUACAGGGCUGUAUACUGGGAGAACAGCUGAUUAUGUUGGCCAGCUACGUUUCCUUGGCUCUUCUCUAUUGUCUUCUUCAGCUGGUUCCCUUAGUAUUAUUGAUAAGUUGAGGCCUCUCAAUGUCCCACUGAUAAUCAAGCUAUUUCUGUGGAAAGCUAACCUUAACCUGUUGCCAUGUGCCGAGAAUCUUUGUCGUCAUGGUCUUCAUGUUGAUAUUUUAUGUAGCAGGUGUGGCACUGCUGUGGAGAGUCAGAUUCACGCCUGAAGGAUUGUCCAGCAAGUGGCUAUGCUCCCCACUUGGGUUUCGUGGGAUGAAGUGGUCUCUGUUGAUGCUAGAAACUGGUUGCAGUUGGUAAUGACUACUACAGAUACAGGUAUCUUUGAAACUUUUGCGGUGCUGAUGUGGGCUUGCUGGAAUAUGAGGAAUAAAAUCUAAUUUGAUGAUGAUGGAGCUAAUUCUAGAAUUCUGUGCUCUAUUUCUGUCCUGAGUAUCUGAUGGUCAGCAAUAGGUCUCUACGUAGUUCCGCAUGUGAUUCGUUGGAUAGCACCUGUAUCUGUGUGUUUAAAUUGAAUAGUCACUGCGAUGGAUGUGCAAGCUGGUUUUAUUGGUUUGGGGGCGGUGUUGUUUUGUCGCUGCAGCAAAAGGUGCGAUGUCGAUGUAGUUCAGAUUUUACUGAAGCCCAAGCCACACUUGUGAGUCUGACAGCAAUAGAGGAAUUUAGGUCUGCUGCAAUUGUCAUUGAAAGUGAUUCACUCUGUGUUGUUACUAGUCUGAGAAAUGGAGCUGCUGGUCUCAAUUCAGUUCAUCAGCUGUUUGAGGAGAUUCAUAUGCUAUGUUCUAGUUUCUUUCCUUUUCGUUAUAUUUUGUUAAGCGUAGUGGUAAUGCUGUAGCUCAUGGAGAAAUCUGCACUUUGCCUAGGUAGUGAGCCUAUAGUUUUGAGAGGCAUUCCUGCCUCUCUUGAACAUCUUGUUUUGGCUGAUUGUGCUGCUGCUUAAUACAAAUUCCUCUUCUUCAAAAAAAAAAAAGAAAAACCUCCAGGAGAUUAUUCCUA